ACCGACGAAUGCAUAAGGGGUUCUGAGAGGAAGGUCCCCCACACUGGUACUGAGACACGGACCAGACUCCUACGGGAGGCAGCAGUGAGGAAUAUUGGUCAAUGGUCGGGAGACUGAACCAGCCAAGCCGCGUGAGGGAGGAAGGUACAGAGUAUCGUAAACCUCUUUUGUCAGGGAACAAAGGCGGGGACGUGUCCCCGGAUGAAAAAACCUGAAGAAAAAGCAUCGGCUAACUCCGAACCAGCAGCCGCGGUAAUACGGAGGAUGCGAGCGUUAUCCGGAUUUAUUGGGUUUAAAGGGUGCGCAGGCGGUCUGUCAAGUCAGCGGUCAAAGCCCGGGGCUCAACCCCGGCCCGCCGUUGAAACUGGCAGUCUCGAGUUGGAGAGAAGUAUGCGGAAUGCGCGGUGUAGCGGUGAAAUGCAUAGAUAUCGCGCAGAACUCCGAUUGCGAAGGCAGCAUGCCGGCUCCACACUGACGCUGAGGCACGAAAGCGUGGGUAUCGAACAGGAUUAGAUACCCUGGUAGUCCACGCAGUAAACGAUGAAUGCUGGCUGUCCGGGGGGAUUGACCCCUGGGUGGCGAAGCGAAAGCGAUAAGCAUUCCACCUGGGGAGUACGCCGGCAACGGUGAAACUCAAAGGAAUUGACGGGGGCCCGCACAAGCGGAGGAACAUGUGGUUUAAUUCGAUGAUACGCGAGGAACCUUACCCGGGCUCAAACGGGGAGUGACUCAGGCAGAGACGCCUGUUUCCCACGGGACACUCCCCGAGGUGCUGCAUGGUUGUCGUCAGCUCGUGCCGUGAGGUGUCGGCUUAAGUGCCAUAACGAGCGCAACCCCCGCGUGCAGUUGCUAACAGAUAACGCUGAGGACUCUGCACGGACUGCCGGCGCAAGCCGCGAGGAAGGCGGGGAUGACGUCAAAUCAGCACGGCCCUUACGUCCGGGGCGACACACGUGUUACAAUGGGUGGUACAGCGGGAAGCCAGGCGGCGACGCCGAGCGGAACCCGAAAUCCACUCUCAGUUCGGAUCGGAGUCUGCAACCCGACUCCGUGAAGCUGGAUUCGCUAGUAAUCG
rnacentral:rRNA from 1 species